GCGGCCGCCAUGGCGGCCGGGAGCAUGCGACGUCGGGCCCAUUCGCCCUAUCGUGAGUCGUAUUAAGCCCUUGACUUUGGGAUAACUUCAGGAAACUGGGGCUAAUACCGGAUAGGAGCUCCUGCUGCAAGGUGGGGGUUGGAAAGUUUCGGCGGUUGGGGAUGGACUCGCGGCUUAUCAGCUUGUUGGUGGGGUAGUGGCUUACCAAGGCUUUGACGGGUAGCCGGCCUGUGAGGGUGACCGGCCACAUUGGGACUGAGAUACGGCCCAGACUCCUACGGGAGGCAGCAGUGGGAAUAUCGCACAAUGGACGGAAGCCUGAUGCAGCAACGCCGCGUGCGGGAUGACGGCCUUCGGGUUGUAAACCGCUUUCGCCUGUGACGAAGCGUGAGUGACGGUAAUGGGUAAAGAAGCACCGGCUAACUACGUGCCAGCAGCCGCGGUGAUACGUAGGGUGCGAGCGUUGUCCGGAUUUAUUGGGCGUAAAGGGCUCGUAGGUGGUUGAUCGCGUCGGAAGUGUAAUCUUGGGGCUUAACCCUGAGCGUGCUUUCGAUACGGGUUGACUUGAGGAAGGUAGGGGAGAAUGGAAUUCCUGGUGGAGCGGUGGAAUGCGCAGAUAUCAGGAGGAACACCAGUGGCGAAGGCGGUUCUCUGGGCCUUUCCUGACGCUGAGGAGCGAAAGCGUGGGGAGCGAACAGGCUUAGAUACCCUGGUAGUCCACGCUGUAAACGGUGGGUACUAGGUGUGGGGUCCAUUCCACGGGUUCCGUGCCGUAGCUAACGCUUUAAGUACCCCGCCUGGGGAGUACGGCCGCAAGGCUAA
rnacentral:rRNA from 1 species